UGGGGAAUAUUGGACAAUGGGCGCAAGCCUGAUCCAGCCAUGCCGCGUGAGUGAUGAAGGCCCUAGGGUUGUAAAGCUCUUUCACCGGUGAAGAUAAUGACGGUAACCGGAGAAGAAGCCCCGGCUAACUUCGUGCCAGCAGCCGCGGUAAUACGAAGGGGGCUAGCGUUGUUCGGAUUUACUGGGCGUAAAGCGCACGUAGGCGGACUAUUAAGUCAGGGGUGAAAUCCCGGGGCUCAACCCCGGAACUGCCUUUGAUACUGGUAGUCUUGAGUUCGAGAGAGGUGAGUGGAAUUCCGAGUGUAGAGGUGAAAUUCGUAGAUAUUCGGAGGAACACCAGUGGCGAAGGCGGCUCACUGGCUCGAUACUGACGCUGAGGUGCGAAAGCGUGGGGAGCGAACAGG
rnacentral:rRNA from 1 species